AACGAGUGUUUUAUAUCAGCCUUGAUGUUUGCCUGUUGUGUUGAGUAAUAAUAGUUUAAGUACAGCCACGGUUUUGUGUAUAUAAAAGUAGCAUUACUUAGCUACCUAACGUUUCUUUCCAUGUAGUAACAUGUUAUAGAUGUGAUGAUGCGAGUAACCCAGUACAAUUGAAGCUUAAUGAAUUUGUAUAUGUCAUUUCAUUCAGUGUCCAAUAAAGACAAGCUGACAGUGCAGGUCAGCGUGAGAGCCUUGUGCUACAGGUCGAUGGGGAAGAGCGAGGCACCACAGUUUGAGUCUAGAUCAAGCUUUGUGAUUCAGCAGCCAAGGGAUGAAAAAAGAAAGAGUUAAUCUAUGGGCUGGAGCAGCUGUCUCUGAGAGGAAAAGAAAAAAAGUAUAGCUCAAAAACAACAAAUACAAAUAAAAUGGCAUCACGUAUAAUUACAUCUGUAACUACUUAUAAAGUACUGUUGAUGCACGUGCAG
ensembl:lncRNA